AAAAUAGAACCCGUGCCUUCCCCCAUCAUGUCAAGGUGUGAAAACAGAUGGGAAAGUCACCUCUGUGAAGAUGCUCCCUGACAUGAGAGGAGAGCUCUCAGAGGCGGAGAAGUCAUUCAGCUCUCAACUCAGGGCCGAGAAAGCUUUUUAAGAAAAACUGCAGGGGCCGGGUGGUGGUGGCGCAUGCCAUCAAUCCCAGCACUCAGGAGGCAGAGGCAGAUCUCUGUGAGUUCAAGGUCAGCCUGGGCUACAGAGUGAGUUUCAGGACAGGCACCAAAACUACACAGAGCAACCCUGUCUCAGGGGGAAAAGAAGAAGAAGGAGAAGGAGAAGGAGAAGGAGAAGGAGAAGAAAACCUGCGGGGCAAAAGGAUGAAAUGGCAGUGGGAAGGUGUUGGAAUAUGAAUAGGGGUCAACUGGUCCAGCCUUCUAGUAUGCAGUUGAGAAAACUACUUCUCAGAGAACUGACAGACCAGAAGAAAGGACGCCAGAGGAGUAACUACAAAGCAAGUCUCUGGUUCCCUAGCCCGGCACACUCUUCGGGGAAAGAAAGGGUAUCGACAUCCCACUGGGACCCUGAAAUCAGCCUUGUAGGAAAUAUUUGCCCCAGACAAACUACACAACAGAGAAGACUGUGAAUCAGGACUCUAUUCUGGAAUGAACGUCAUUGUUUUUAAGGACAUGUAGACUGGGUUGACCUGGAACUUACUGUUAACUCUGAGGCUGGCUUUGAACUCCUAAUCCUGCCUCUUCCUCCCAGACAAGAUCCCUCACUGAACCUGGGGUUCACCGGCCAGCAAGCUCCAGGGAUCUUCCUAUCACUGCCUCCCCAUUGCUGGGAUCACAGGUAAAUGCAACCAUAUCUGGCUUUUUGUGUGGAUGCUGGGAAUCCAAACCCAAGUCUUCACGCUCUUGUGGCAAGCAUUUUACUGACCAUAGGCCAUCUUCCUUGGACGCAUGAUGGUUAAUAUUGACUGGACUUGAUUUGACUGGAAACUACCUGGGAGGGUGAUGUUUCCCUGGAUAUACCUGGGUGGCAUUUUCAGACAAGACUAGAUCAAAAAGUCCUUGGCCUAAUGAAUGGUUUAAUAUGUUGAUGAAUUAAAAAUCUGAAUAGACUAUAGGGAGGUGGUUGAACUGUAGAAGAGUGGAAUAAUUACAUCGCCUCAGGGCAGGAAUGCUUUUGAAGGGCACAUCCUGCCCUGGUCCCUUCCUGUUGCCUCUUUCUGCUUCUUGGUUGUCAUAAGGCAGUCUUUCUAAUACAGUCUUGCCACUGUGGUAUUCAGCUUCACCUUAGGCCAAAGCAAUGGAUCCAGCAAACCGUGGAUGAACAUCUCUAAAAUCACGAGCCCAAAUCAAUCUUUGUUCAUUUGAACUGUCUUAGGUAUUUGUCACUGUGAUGGAAAAGUCUAAUGUACCUCCUUGCUUUGAAUACAGAUCUUUCUGGUUGGUAACAAUUUUUAAACAAUGGAGACAAGCACUUCUGCCAAAAUAGCAUUAUGGCAUUAAUAGCCAUUAACAGCAGGUGUUAUCUUAUUACUUUAUUUUUAAAAUUAUUUUAUGUGUCUGGGUAUUUUGCCUGCAUGUAUGUUUAUGCACUGUGUGCAUGCCUGGUGCCCACAGAAGCCAGAAGAGAGUAUUGGAUC